AACGCUAGCUACAGGCUUAACACAUGCAAGUCGAGGGGAAACGAUUUUGGAAGCUUGCUUCCGAUAGGCGUCGACCGGCGCACGGGUGAGUAACGCGUAUCCAACCUGCCCAUCACUUGGGGAUAMCCUUGCGAAAGWAAGACUAAUACCCAAUGACGUCUCUAGAAGACAUCUGAAAGAGAUUAAAGAUUUAUCGGUGAUGGAUGGGGAUGCGUCUGAUUAGCUUGUUGGCGGGGUAACGGCCCACCAAGGCGACGAUCAGUAGGGGUUCUGAGAGGAAGGUCCCCCACAUUGGAACUGAGACACGGUCCAAACUCCUACGGGAGGCAGCAGUGAGGAAUAUUGGUCAAUGGACGAGAGUCUGAACCAGCCAAGUAGCGUGCAGGAAGACGGCCCUAUGGGUUGUAAACUGCUUUUAUAAGGGAAUAAAGUGAGUCUCGUGAGACUUUUUGCAUGUACCUUAUGAAUAAGGACCGGCUAAUUCCGUGCCAGCAGCCGCGGUAAUACGGAAGGUCCGGGCGUUAUCCGGAUUUAUUGGGUUUAAAGGGAGCGUAGGCCGGAGAUUAAGCGUGUUGUGAAAUGUAGACGCUCAACGUCUGCACUGCAGCGCGAACUGGUUUUCUUGAGUACGCACAAAGUGGGCGGAAUUCGUGGUGUAGCGGUGAAAUGCUUAGAUAUCACGAAGAACUCCGAUUG
rnacentral:rRNA from 1 species